AUUUUAUAGCACCUCCUGAGCUCAGCGAAGCUGGCGCUAAACCUCGGUUGCUCUGAUCAUGACAAAUAGGAGCUGGAGAGCCAAAUUCAGUGCAGAGUCACUGCCUGCCUGUGGAGCUGCUGCUUUUCCUGCUUUUGGUUAUUGAUUUGGUGUGUGGCUGGUGGCUCUGCCACCCACACUGGCCAGGAUGGUGCUCUGUGAAACCAGAGGAGCCUUGGGAUGCUGGUGGGACUUGUCCUGCCCGUGUCUUCACUCACCUCUGUGGAAGGAGCCAGCCUGGGGGAUGGAAGAUACAGUGAGAAGCUCAGCUGGCUUUGUGGCCGAGUGCAAGGCAGGGGACA